UUCGAAAGAAAUAACACUCUUUAUUUUAAACACCUCACUACAAUAUUACUCUCACUCACUAUUUAUCUCACAUACUACAAUCUGUGGAUUGCUCUCUCUAACUCUCUGUUGCUUCUCUCGAUUUGGUGUAUUUGAAACGAAACAGAAUGACUCUAUUUAUAGCAAAGGAGCCGUCCAAUUUAGCCAAUCAAAUGCAUUUGAUGCAAUUUGCAGAAUUGCCGUCCAUAUCAACUUGUUGCAUUACAACUUGUUGCAUUGCAACUUGUUGCCAACUUUUGCUUUGCCUUUUUUUUUUUUAUUUGAAUAGGUCCCACAUUUCCUUUGGAUAUCGGUAAGGACACUUUCCUUGGAAAAAAUAAUUCAUUUCCAUUUUUUUUUCUUGUCAUUUGUGGUGUAACAUGAUGAUAUUCCAUUUUCUGCAGUAUGACUUCGGGCUUCAUUCAUGCUUUCACGAUAAUUUUUAUCUUGCCUCAUUGCUAGUUGCUAUAGGGUAAUGAACAAGUACUUAUCUUCAUUGUGUUAAGUUCCAAAAGCAACCAAUUAGUUGAAGUUCCUUUACCAUACACUCUUACUCUAGCUGAUAAAAGAGUUGCCUGUCAGAUGGGAUCAACUAUGAGAAGAUCUAUAUUUGAUGAUCAAACUUCCAAAGCACUGAUGAAUUGGCAUAAAAAUGCAAAAAAGAAGAAACCUACAAAGCUUGGACAAGUACAAACACGAAAAUUAGGAAGUCCAGGGGACUCACCUGAAACUUCCCUGAGCACGAAAGGUGGUCAUCAAUCCAGAAUAGAAAUGUCUAACGUAGAGCCAUCAUCGUCUAGUCAAACAGCCAACAUUGUUGCUAGUGUGGACAUUCCAGAGGAAAUGCCUCACAAUGAUGGCAGAUCGUGGUCCACGAAUCCUGGCCUACUUACAGGUCCUUGAUUGAGACAAUGAGCAGAGAUAACUCAUGUCAUAUAGGGAGGAAAAGAGAGGGGAACGUACAUUGAAAUGCUAUUACUUGGGCUGGAGAUUGGUGGUUCCCCUAUUUCUCUGCACAGCAUUGCAGAAAAAACUAGCUUUUUGUUCCAAUUUCAGGUUAUUGCUCAAUUUUGUAAACUUCACUUGUAUUAUUAUUAAAAGAAA